ACAGGUUUAGACGACUCAUUCAAGUUUUGGAGGGCUCCCUCCGGGACAUCUGUUCAGGAUCAUGAGCCAAGCUCUCUUUCCACCUCAGAAACAAUGGUGGCUGCCUCGGUGGGCAGCACUGAGAUUCAGACCCUGCUGCCGUCAACACUUAUUCCUGAAACUGUGCUUGACCAGUUUGUAACUCAAGGUCAGCGUGAAGCCAGAUCAGUGCGACCUCGUGACUCAUCAUUGUCAGCCCCCAGUCACAAGCACCAUGUGUUUGUCACUCCAUCUCUGCUGUCAGCAACCUGUAGCCUUUUA